rnacentral:misc_RNA from 1 species
GGAUGAAGAACGCAGCGAAAUGCGAUACUUGGUGUGAAUUGCAGAAUCCCGUGAACCAUCGAGUCUUUGAACGCAAGUUGCGCCCGAAGCCAUUAGGCCGAGGGCACGCCUGCCUGGGCGUCACACGUCGUUGCCCCCCCAUCUACUCCUUCGGGAUUGCGGGGGGCGGAUGAUGGCCUCUCGUGCGCCUCGUCGCGCGGUUGGCCUAAAUGCCAAGUCCUCGGCGACGCACGCCACGACAAUCGGUGGUUGCGAAACCUCGGUUGCCUGUCGUGUGCGGUCGUCGCGCAUCGAGGGCUCGAAAAAAUUGCCGGGCUUCGGCUCGACUUUCAACGCGACCCCAGGUCAGGCGGGGUUACCCGCUGAAUUUAAGCAUAUCAAUAAGCGGAGGA